UGUGCACUUCUACUUGCGGAUGCUUUCUGCUAACCAAUAGCUGCUCUCUGUCGUGCAUUGUAUACCAAAUAGAGGACAUUCCUAGUUUUACGGUUACUUACAGUGAGACCUGUAGGGCUUCGCCCAGACUACACACAAGGACAACAGGAGACAGGAGACACCCAAGUCUGACUCACACACCUGUCCUACAACACCUGCUUCUAUGUGUGUCAUCGUUACACAAUAAGCCACCUGCAUGACAUUCUCAGAAGUUUCUACAUGACAAUUUCAAAGGGUCAUGAUAGCGGACCUCCUCCCGGGAACCAGGGUCAAAGACAUUAGAUGACGUCAUCUCUGGGCAGACGUGAAUGACUGCGAUUGCAACCACCUGUAACACUUAACGGGUGUUAUUUUCUUCUUGGUUCAUAGUUUUGGACUUAAAUCGUCAAUGUGAAAUUGCGAAAUAUUCUGGAAACGAACAUUAUAACCUGUAGCGUUACACAUUUGAUUACAGCGUUUUAUGAGUAAAUGAAAAACAUGUAACGUUAUUCUUAAGGAAUCUUCCGAAUUGCGUUUUCUUCGAUCUUCUUCGACGUUGAACGUUGAAUACUAGUGUGUUAUGAAGAAUACCUCUUUAAAGAUUGAAAUGAAAUGCUCUUCAAUAAAGAUGAAACAUGGACAUCAAA